rnacentral:tRNA from 1 species
GGAGGCGUGCGAGAGCGGCCGAAUCGGCACGACUGGAAAUCGUGUGUGGGGAAACUCACCGUGGGUUCAAAUCCCACCGCCUCCGCCA